AGAGUUUGAUCCUGGCUCAGAAUGAACGCUGGCGGCAUGCCUAACACAUGCAAGUCGAACGAGACCUUCGGGUCUAGUGGCGCACGGGUGCGUAACGCGUGGGAAUCUGCCCUUGGGUUCGGAAUAACAGCUAGAAAUGGCUGCUAAUACCGGAUGAUGACGUAAGUCCAAAGAUUUAUCGCCCAAGGAUGAGCCCGCGUAGGAUUAGCUAGUUGGUGAGGUAAAGGCUCACCAAGGCGACGAUCCUUAGCUGGUCUGAGAGGAUGAUCAGCCACACUGGGACUGAGACACGGCCCAGACUCCUACGGGAGGCAGCAGUGGGGAAUAUUGGACAAUGGGCGAAAGCCUGAUCCAGCAAUGCCGCGUGAGUGAUGAAGGCCUUAGGGUUGUAAAGCUCUUUUACCCGGGAUGAUAAUGACAGUACCGGGAGAAUAAGCUC
rnacentral:rRNA from 1 species